CCACCGACGCCGCCUCCUGCUCCUUCUGCCCAUGCUCCUGCCUCAUCGCUGAGGGCCGUCCGGGAGAACAGUCCACGGUCUUCUUCUUGUAUUGGACACUUCCCAGUCAUCACUCAUUACUAUUCAGCGAGCGGGUUAGCAGGUUUUAGCCACUUCAGCAUCUGGUAGCCUACGUUAACGUUCCCCGUUGCCUUUUGCAUAGCUAGGUUGAAAACGCUAGCGUAUUUUUUGUUGUUGUUCGUUAUCCGAGGUCCAUUUAAAUUACGUUGCUCGUUUGGAAUUUCCACCCCAGAUAGAGUGGGGGAAAACACAAACACAUUUAGGUUCAGACAACGCGACUGCAUGCCACGAACGACGAGAACCGCUAGAUGUCUGAGAUAAGCAGCAGCAGCAGCAGCAGCAGCGGCAGCGAACCAUGCUGAAAAGGACCGGUGGUUGAAAAUAACGCAGAUUUGGGAUUUCACCCAGAAAUACAACUGGCACAGCAAGGUUUUCCACGGAACAGGAAGCCAGACUUCAGCCUCUGCACAUCACUCCAUCCAGCACUUUUGCCUUUCCUUGGCGCAGCUUCGUCCCUGGAUGAACCGUCGUCAUGAAAAUCUUUCCAUCGGAAGAACAUCGGACAAUCUGCUUUGAUUGCUUCUCCCAAAGUUAUUUUUGACUUUAUCUUUGUGUUUCUUUUUCAUCUCUAUGGGUACAGAGAGGAGCAGUGAAAGGACUGUUUUGUGAUUUCUAAAUACUAUAUCAGUCAGACUUGGCAGAACCCCCUCGACUACAGAACUGACAUUUAGAAGGCGAUGGCGGCGAAUGCUGGACUCUCAUUGGAACAGCGUCAUGAAAUCUCCUGCUACACUCUAAGCGUGUGAAAUGUUUUUUCAUCUCAGAAUUUAAACUUCUUAUCCCGACUUUUUAAAACUUUGUGUCAGGGGGGAGAGUGUAGAGGAAGGACAUCAGAGGAGUGCUGUAAACUCCUCAAAGAGCCUCCGUGAAACAGGCAGACAGACAAUGGACCAAAAGGGGUGAAAGAGGAGAGGAGAGACCUUGAAACGGAGAGAGACGAGUGUAGGCGAGGUGAACCUCGAGAGAAAAGCAGAAAUAGGAAAGAACAAAAAAAAGAACAGAAGGGAGAAUACUGAGAAAUUGGCGGAUAACAGAGGAACCGAGCAGCGAAGGAGAAAAGAAUUGAAGAAGAGAGCUAUUUUUUUUGGUCUAGGAUGGCUAGAGACGUGAUGAAACACCCUUCAGGCCAGACCUCCUCCCUUCUACUGCUCCUCCUUCCUCUCCUCCUCCCAUCUUCCCUCCCUCUCUCCGCUGCUCUCAGCUAGUCUGCCGGUAUUCUUAGGCUGAGCUGCUUCAGUGCAACGAGAGAGACAGAAAAAAAGAGAGAGAGCAGAGCGCUGGAGCCGAGCUCAUCAUUCACACAGAUGGCAGAGAAAAGGAGAAGGACCUGCUGCAUCCAUCCACACCGUACAUUGGAUUUCACUGAGGAUGGACAUUGCAGUUAACCCCACCCCCCCCCAAAAAAAAGGGAAGGAAAAGAGAGAGGUGGACUUAAAGACAGUGGAAGCCAGAGAAGGGAAAGUUAGAAAGUAAAGAGGGAGGGAAUGAACAAAGCAUAGAAAGGUGGAAAAAGCAGAGACUGGGAUCGAAGCUGAAGGAGAGAUCACCUCUCGUGGAAAGCAAAGCAAGCAGUCAGGCUACAGCUGUGUGUAAUUCAGCUGCGACUCCAGCGUGUGUGUGUGUGUGUGUGUGUGUGUGUAUGUGUGUGUGUUGAGACAUUUCUGUGUGUGAGACGAGCACAUAGCUCUGAAAAGAGAGGGAGAGAAUCCAGCGGGAGACAGAGAGAACGCGUAGGAGCAUCGCUGAGCGCACAGCUUGACUGUGAGACAAAUUGACUCUGACACAUUGUCCUCCAUCAGAGUGUGUGUGUGUGUGUGUGUGUGUCUGUGUGUG
rnacentral:lncRNA from 1 species